rnacentral:tRNA from 1 species
AAAAAUUUAGUUAAACUAUAACAUUAGCUUGUCAAGCUAAAAUUAUUAAAUAUAAUAAUUUUUA